GUUGAACCAGAAGCCGGUGACCCAACCGCAAGGAGGGAGCCGUCCAAGGUUUGACCGGUGAUUGGGGUGAAGUCGUAACAAGGUAGCCGUAGGUGAACCUGCAGAAGGAUCA
rnacentral:rRNA from 1 species